CACACACAUCGCGACAUUCCCAAGGAGAUUGCAGGCUUUACUUCUGGUGAUUAUAUCUCUCUAAAACUCUCUCCAUCUCUCUCUUUCUCUCUCACCAUUGCUCUUAAGUAACUACGAAUUCUUUUGCUACUUCUUUUGCUCUAAUCCAAUAACACCAACCAAGCUCUUUGCUUCUUCUUCGUUUUCAUCUUCUUCUUCUUCUUCUUCUUGUACUCUCCCAUUUUGUCAAACCAAAAACCUCAAAUUCAUCAAUCAACAAGCUAAUCUGUAGUCUUUUUUCGUCCUUAAAUUACGUAAACGCUACUUGAACUCCUUCUUUCAAACCAAACUCAUAUCCCCUUCUUUUGCAAUUUCAUCUAACCUACCAUUGACAUCCUCGAUCUUAUGAGCUAAAGGAAAAUAAGAUUGAGAUUGAGAGCUAGUUACCUUUUUCUUUUGAUUAAAGCUAGUUAACUUGACAUAAAGCUCAAUAAUACCCUUCCUAAUAUCAUAGUUGUAACAUCUCUAAUUUUUAAAUAAUUAUUAUAUAUAUAUUAUUCUAAUUUUGAUAUUGUGUACUUCGCGUAUGUACUUUCAUUUUAUGAAAAUUCGAUCGUCGCUCGAAUUUGUAAUUUCAGACCGAGCAGAUAAGCUGCAGGAAUCAUUUCAGAACCGGAUCAAGAUUAUAGGCUAACCCAUUGUUUUCAGACGUUUUGGACGCGUUCCAGUUGUCAGAUUUGGCAUAGGUGAGCCGGGAUAGCCAUCUUCCUCCACCCAGUCGCCACAGUGACUUCGAUUAAGUUUGCUACAGGAGGAUUAUUUGUUGUGGCUAACCUGCUCUUCUUCUUCUUCACAGGUCUAUUGAUAGUGUUUAAUGUAUUUUGUACAAUUGAGUUAAAUUUUUAGACUCCGCAUGUAUUAGAAGCAUUUAUUUUUAUUUUGAGCCUGUAUUAUAAAAGUUAUGUUGGACCUGUAAAAUUAUUAACUGUAUGUAUGAUAGGAUUGGAUGAGGGAGCUGAGCUCCUAUUUGAGUUAUGACAUUUUGAUUAU